CUUACUACACUAGGACGACCUCGUACGAUUGCGAGUCAAUCCCUUAGGUGUUUUGGGUUGAGUCAAUUUUUGGCGCCGUUGCCGGGGAAGGCUUUAGGCGUUUGGUUGUGCUACUUUGUUUUCCGUGUUUAUUUUAUUUUUAUUUUUGCUCGGUUAUCUUCUUUCUCCCACCGGUGCGUUUAAUCUAUUUUGUUGAGUGUUGUGUUGCUAGGGAGUUAAAGUCUUAACAGGAAUUUGGCAUUCUACUUGACAACACUCACCGUGCACGCGAGGUGCUUGAAGCCUAGGAGAGGGUACCGAGUCUCUUUUGUUGGAGUUGAGAAGAUGGCAGGAAGGAAUUUACAGUACAUGGGGGAUUUUUUUCGGCCUGUCAUAGAGGCCACGAACUCAGCU
rnacentral:lncRNA from 1 species